UACGUAGGGGGGCUAGCGUUGUCCGGAAUCAUUGGGCGUAAAGAGCGCGUAGGCGGUCCGAUAAGUCGGCUGUGAAAGUCAGGGGCUCAACCCUUGAAAGCCGGCCGAUACUGUCGGACUAGAGUCCGGAAGAGGCAAGUGGAAUUCCCGGUGUAGCGGUGAAAUGCGCAGAUAUCGGGAGGAACACCAAUGGCGAAGGCAGCUUGCUGGGACGGUACUGACGCUGAAGCGCGAAAGCGUGGGGAGCAAACAGG
rnacentral:rRNA from 1 species